CCUCGAAUCAGGUGGACUACCCGCUGAACUUAAGCAUAUCAAUAAGCGGAGGAAAAGAAACUAACGAGGAUUCCCCUAGUAACGGCGAGUGAAGCGGGAUGAGCUCAAAUUUAAAAUCUGAUAGUCUUUUGGCUGUCCAUGUUGUAAUCUAGAGAAGUGUUUUCCGCGUUGGACCAUGUACAAGUUUCCCGGAACGGAACGUCAUAGAGGGUGAGAAUCCCGUCCUUGACAUGGACUACCAGUGCUUUGUGAUACACUCUCAACGAGUCGAGUUGUUUGGGAUUGCAGCUCAAAAUGGGAGGUAAAUUCCUUCUAAAGCUAAAUAUUGGCGAGAGACCGAUAGCGAACAAGUACCGUGAGGGAAAGAUGAAAAGCACUUUGGAAAGAGAGUUAAACAGUACGUGAAAUUGUUAAAAGGGAAACGAUUGAAGUCAGUCGCGUUUACUUGGACUCAGCCUUACCUCGGUUUGGUGCAUUUCCUUGUGAACGGGCCAGCGUCAAUGUUGUCCGUUGGAAAAGGGUUGGAGAAAUGUGGCUCUUUCGGGAGUGUUAUAGUCUCUGAUCGUAUACAACGGCUGAUAUUGAGUGGUACAGCAUGCUUCGGCGGUGCUUGUGCUGGCA
rnacentral:rRNA from 1 species